UACGGAGGAUGCGAGCGUUAUCCGGAAUCAUUGGGUUUAAAGGGUCCGUAGGCGGGCUGAUAAGUCAGAGGUGAAAGCGCUUAGCUCAACUAAGCAACUGCCUUUGAAACUGUCAGUCUUGAAUGAUUGUGAAGUAGUUGGAAUGUGUAGUGUAGCGGUGAAAUGCUUAGAUAUUACACAGAACACCGAUAGCGAAGGCAUAUUACUAACAAUUUAUUGACGCUGAUGGACGAAAGCGUGGGGAGCGAACAGG
rnacentral:rRNA from 1 species